rnacentral:rRNA from 1 species
CAGCAGCCGCGGUAAUACGAAGGGGGCUAGCGUUGCUCGGAAUGACUGGGCGUAAAGCGUGCGCAGGCGGUUCGUUAAGACAGAUGUGAAAUCCCCGGGCUUAACCUGGGAACUGCAUUUGUGACUGACGGGCUAGAGUAUGGCAGAGGGGGGUAGAAUUCCACGUGUAGCAGUGAAAUGCGUAGAGAUGUGGAGGAAUACCGAUGGCGAAGGCAGCCCCCUGGGCCAAUACUGACGCUCAUGCACGAAAGCGUGGGGAGCAAACAGGAUUAGAUACCCGCGUAGUCCCUGUCUCUUAUAC